GCUCCAUGUGACACCUGCGCAGCUCCCGGACCCGCCUCUCCACAGGUUUCUGGCGAGGUUGGGAACAGCCCUUGAGAUGGCUGCAGUGGAGAAGGUCGAGGAGCAGCUCGCGAGUCUGCGCAUAGCCAAGCGCUCUGCGCCGAGCGAGGAACCCGCUUACCUGCUGGACAUCGACCUUUCCAGACCUGCCCAGUCUGAAAACGGUCGCUUUGUGGCAGUUUCCUGUUCCAAUAAGUCCAUUAGGGUGUACAACAGGGAAACAUUACAGUUCCUGAGGGAGUACAGCAGCCAUCCCGGGAUACUCAGCGGGGUCAGAUUUGCACACACGUGCGACAGCGCGGUGCUCUCAGCCUGCAGUGACGGGACAGUGAAAUGCUGGGAUGUUCGUUCAGCCACUCAGAAACCUGUGCAGGUAUUCAGUGGAUAUCCUUCCAACGUUUUCAUCAGUUUUGAUAUCAGCUGCAGUGAUCUCAUCGUUUGUGCUGGGACAGAAAAAGUUGAACAGGACACGUUUCUGGUGUUUUGGGAUGCAAGAGGCGUUACAGACUGUGCCAGCUCAGCUAAGGAACCCUUGGGAGUCUAUUCUGAAAGCCACAAUGAUGACAUCACAAAAAUCUGUUUUCAUCCUGUUGAACCCAAUUUGGUAGUUUCUGGGUCAACCGAUGGGUUGGUCAACGUGUUCGACAUCAACAAGGAUAAUGAAGAUGAUGCUCUGAUAUCAACUUGCAAUUCAGAUUCAUCAGUGAGUUUUAUUGGCUGGUCUGGGAAAGAUUAUAAACAGGUCUACUGCCUGACACACGAUGAGGGAUUCUGCUGGUGGGACACGGCUCAGCUGGACACCGAGGAACCAAUAACCCUGCUGCGUGUCCUGGACGUCAGAGACUCGCUCUGCGCCGAGAACCAGAGCCUGCGUUACCUGGUGGGGGGCUGGUACCAUGAAAAGGCAGAGAAACUCUUCCUUGUCGGGGGAACCUCCACAGGAAACAUCCACCUGAUCAGCUGUGGCACCGAUGGGCUGGGCCUGGUGGGGACCCUCUGCGGGGGCCACUCCGCCACCGUGCGCUCCUUCUGCUGGGACCCGGCGGAUGAGUCUCUGCUGACGGGUGGAGAGGAUGCUCAGCUGUUGCUAUGGAAACCCGGAGCUGUGGAAAGGUCCCUCACAAAGAAGGCAUCUCUGAAGAUUGCUUCUUCCGUGCACAGGAGAGUGAGAGUUCACGACAGCUCCCUGAAAAGCAGGAAAAAGUAAAAUGCCGGAAUUGGGAAUCUCUGCUGUGUGGAGUUCUGGUGCUGAAUCUCUCAGGCGAUGCUUGGCUGUGCUUUGUUUGGAGGUAUUCUGUGGAAAGAACUGUGGUGCUUGAAUUCCCCCUGGGAAUGUAUUUCAGUCAUCAGAAGAAUGUCUCUUAUUUUUUUAAAGUUGCUAAUAUUAAUCAGAAAAGAGUAAACAUCUGCACUUGAGUUCUCGAACAACAGAUGUUAAAUCAUAUUAUAUAAAACUAUUUCUGUGGUUAUUUAAUGUCUCAGGCAAUAUUUAAAAUGUGUAAUAUAGGCCUGUGGCUUGCAAAGUUUGUUACCUUCCCAGUGAAAUUCACUGGCACACUUGAAAAGCUUUUGUAUUUCGUGCUGUAUUUUGCUUUCUUUACAGAAAACUUAACGAAAUUGCUCAAUUUAGUUAAAGAUUUUAUGUCACAUCUUAAUGCUUGAGGGAAUUACUUAUUGAUGAAACAGAAAAUAAGUAGUUUUGCACUGUCACAUCACUGGUUUAGAACGAGCUCAUAAAGAAGCAGUUGGUAGACUCAUAUUUUUCAUAGCAGAUAUUAAAAUAUUCAAGUGAAGAGGAGCACGUGAUUCCAAACAGCUAAUUUGUACGUGUAUGAGAACUGUUAAACUGGCAUCAUUUAGAGCAUAUUUCCUGCAUGAAAAUACCUAAGAAUCUUGUAAGCAGCUUCAUUCUGUCAUGGCUUACAGACUGGUUGGGGUUGGAAGGGACCUCUGGAGAUCAUCUGGGCCGACCCCCUGCUCGAGCAGGGUUUGAAGGAGACUCCACAGCCUCUCUGGGCAGUGUGUGCUGGUGCUUUGCCACUCUCACAGUAAAGAAGUUUUUCCUCGUGUUCAGAUGGAACUUGCUGUGUGUUGGUUUCUGCCUGUCGCCUCUUGUCCUGUCACUGAAAAGAGCUUCUUGACACGUAUCCUGAAAGAUCUGUGUUUUGGGGUGAGCCACCCUUCUGUCAGGAUGGAGCCCAGCCAUGGGGGUUGGGCAUGGACACAGUUAAUUGCAGUGUCAGUUGAUCAGCAAAGCUUUUGUACUCCUGAAAGAACUGACCCUUUUGCCUACCUCAAAAAGCUCAUCUGCAUUUGUCAUGGUUAAUUUGGAAUUACUUCUCUCCACCCCUUCAAAAUGGUCUUGUUAUUUGGUUUCUUGUAUUUUUUUGGGGGGAGUGCUGAUAGUAGUGAGUUGUGUCAUGGUACCUGAUUUUCUGGAGGGGGAUGAGUCCUUUCCCUUUUAUCUGGGAGCUCUCCUGUCCUGUGCAUGGGCUGCUGGACUCUGCACUUCUUAUCACACCAAAUGGAGGGUGGGAAGCAGAGAGAGGGAAGAAAAAAGGGAGGUUGGCUCCUGCUGACCCUCUGACAGGACAUCUGUCCAGGGAAGCUCCUCAACGAGGAGUUGGACCCUCUACCUUUUGAAAUACAGCUAAGGGCUUAUUCUUGAGCUUGUUGUAAGCAGGAUAGGACCUCAAAUAAAUUAUGCAAGACAUAAGCACCCUUCAAGCAUAAAAGCCAGUUCCUGUUUGUCUGUGAGAUGAACAAUUUGGCAGUGAAGCGUGUAAGAGGCAGAAGGUGUUCGCUUGCAGGGGCCGGGUGUUCUUAACUUCUGUGAGCAGUGAGGAGAGUCGCUGGUUGAGCCAGUGCUGCUCCCUCUGCCCUGCAGGAACUGAUGGGUUUGGGGAUUCCGAGUGCCAUGAAAAAAGGGAAGGCAGGAGUGAGUGUGGAGAUGACAGCUAAAGGUAGCAGUUCAGUCUGUGAAUUGCCGCUGUUGGGUGUUUAUACACCACUCUGUUCCUUGGUUCCUUGUCAGAGUUAUUUGCAGAUAACCUGUCAACCGAUUCUGAGGAUCUCUGAUAACUUCUUGGAUUCUGUUUCCUUUUUUCUAUACCAUUUUGUAACCUGGCACAGGUUGUUGGCUGAUGGCCUCAGCUUGCUGUCAGGGUGUUCUGUCCUGCUGGGAUUUCAACACAUGUUGUUUCUUCCAGUCUUCCUCCUCAUGCCUUUAGAUACUUUGAAAUCUGUAUUUUGAAAGUUUUCUACUUUUCUGGAAAUAGACUGCUGGAAAAUACUAUUCUAUAUACUCCUCCUGCAAUCUUGGCACUAGUAUCUUUAUGGGAAUAGAUUACAUUUUUUAUAUCAAUUUUGGUCUUAUUCUCUCAUGCUCUGACUAAAGAUUUGAUGGUGCUCCAAUCCCAUAAAGGUGGUACUUGAGCAGCCUGUUGCCACAGGAACUCAGAACUGGCAGUGAGAAAUGCUGGGAGGAGCUCAGGAGAGUUCUCAGGGCUAAUUUAAAAUGAUCAUUUUGAGAAAUCUACUAAAAGUGACGAAACAAGAAGGUCCAGGGAACUCAAAAUACGCAGUAGAUUACCAAAGGACUGUUGCCUCCCAGGUAAUACAUUUGAUAUUACUGCUUUGGUGAUGAUACUGGGCUAAAGCUGAAGAACAAACUCAGACCCAGAGUCCACUUUUCUGGAUGUUUUUAAUAGAGGAAUUUGGGAUUACUGAUAGAGUUGAGUACCUGUGAGUACAAUGCAUGCCAAUUCUCACUACUUCAGGUCCAGAUUAAAAACUACUGAAUACACACACAGCAGGUCAAAUAGCUGCAAGUGACUCCCUUAACUUUUACUGGGACUUGUGGAGAUGAAUGUCCAUAAACCCAGCCCAGUGGUUCUGAUUUAUGAUUUCUGAUUUAUGUCUUUGAUUUCAGCACUGUGGGUACAUGAAGAAUGAAGACAGAAAGGUAAACAGAACUGAUUAAGUGUUUGUAACACUGCCUUAAACUGUAAUUAUUGCUGCCAAAAACGGUUCCCUGCUGCUGGAUGUAAAGUUUGCAUUCAGAGUUUUAUGUUUCUUGUCUUAGAUUAAUUUCUUUAAGUGCUUUUAUUUCUGCUUAUCACAUCAGACACGAGGGAGGAAGGAGUGCAGACCCUGGUCUGGAUGUUCUGGGUCUCUCAGUGCUCUGGCAGCUACUGCCCAGCUGCUCUUGCCUCUGAAAGAUGUUCCCAUGUUUGAAUUGAAUUGUGUUUGAACAAUUUAGGAUGUUUUUUGGGUAUCUCCCAGCGCUGCAGAGCUUCAGUACUCACCAGAGCACUGUAGAGGGUAAUAGUUGGUAUGUGAGCUCAUCACCAUGUCUUGGAAAAAUUGGGGCUGAUACACUUUGCUGGUGGGAACCCCCAAACAUUCACUGAUGGAGAUCUCAAAUGUUGCUUUAACAGACUUUUAACUCAGCCAUCUAGAGAAUGCAGAGUGCAGUGUUAUCUAACAGUUAUUUGGGGAUAAUUUGAAGGAGAAAGGCUCAAGGCUUCUCUGUAACAAUGAUCUUGGUGAACUGUCUCAAUUUAGGACUGAUGCACGAGGCAUCAGGAGAAAUAGGGGGAUGGAUGUUCCUUGGAUCAAGUAAGAUGGUGUUUGAGCUUCACACCCCAAAAAUCAAAGUCUAGCUGAAGCCAGUAAUGGACAAACUAAUGUUUAUUAGCAAAAAAUCAGCAUUUAUAAAGCAAUCUUGUUCUGCUGAAUGAAGACACGUAGUGCUGUGUGGGUCAGAAGGGAUCCCUCCAGCCAGCAGGCUGGGAACAUGGCAGGAAUAAAGAGCUUGUGUAGCCUUCUAGGUGUGUAUGGUGUUAGAGCCACAAGUAGAUCAAAUGAUUGUUGGAAUGAAUUCUUAUAUUUGGGUUGAAUUUGUUGAGUCCUAACUGUUGCAAAUAGGAGAAAGUAUGAAGGCAAUUCAGGAAUGUAAGAACAGGAGCACACAGGCAUCCCACCACAUGCCAAGGAAUGAAUAGUGGCGUUUUGCUAAAACAUCUGGGCUAAAAUAGGCCCAAAUCCUUAUUUAUUUUUAAUAGUGUUAUUAUUUUAACAUUUCUGUUGUGGUUUACUGCCAGGAUGCCUAGACAGUGAGGGAGCUGUAACUUGGUCGUUCUGAGCUAACUCAGUGCUAUGUGCAAGGGGUGAGAGCUGCUCUUCCCUUUAUGUGCCCACCUGCCAUCCAGGACACUCCUGUUUCCCAGUUUUCACCUUACUUUUGCUGCAGAUGUUCUGAGUCUGCAGGUUUAUUGUAUUUCAUAGAAGAAUUUGCUCCCAUUUAAUUUUUAAACUUUGAAUGCCCCAAGACUGCGUGUAAAUGAGACAUAGCUGAAGUAUUUGUGGUUUCUUACAAGGAUGUGUAUUAGACCCAUUUGCUGAUUUAUUAUUAGACAGAUUUCCUAGAUUUAUUAACAUGUCAAAGUUAGCAAAUGGAGAACUAUCUAUUUAUGCAUUAAUAUGACAGUCUUAACUGUCCUGUCAAUAGUCUUUAAAUACAACAAAAACAAGGCCUGGGACUUGAUUAUAGUUGACAAUUUCUGUAGGUGUGGGUGUUUUUAGAGUUUUGUUGAUGAAACAAUUCCGAAAAGCUCCAUAGUAUCUUGUAAAUGAAGGGCCAGCGUUUUCCAGAUGGCUCUAUAAAUAAAUUUGGUAGAUGCAGAAAUAAGUAAAGGUAUUUCAAGAGCUCCAGGCGUGUUUUUGCACAUAAUGUUAUGGUGAGCUAACAGAGGAAAUGAACUUCCUUUUGUUUGCAAAAUAUAAAACCCCUCAAGUUCUUAACGUUUUUUCCACACGCCGGGCGAGUGAAGCUCCUGUGCAGCUUUUUCUUGUCGAUCCCAGGUUUCCACGUGCACCACAGUCAGGAACCUCGGAGAGGAAAGGCCACAGUGAGCCCUGCACAGCUCAAGUGGACACAAACCAGAGCAUUCUGGGGGGUCAGAAGCCAAGGUAUAGGAGAUUAAAGCAAUGUGUGGCUGGCCUGGAGCAGGCAGUGCAGAGAGCAGCUACUGCUGUGUUUGUGUUGCCUUUCCAUUCUUUUUUCUAUUUUUUUGUUAAAGAUGUUUUAACUUACCAAGAUGGCCAGUGGCAUCCUGGCCUGUAUCAGCAAUAGUGUGGCCAGCAGGAGCAGGGCAGUGACUGCCCCCUGUGUGCUGGGCACUGGUGAGGCCACACCUCAAAUCCUGGGUUUGGUUUUGGGCCCCUCACAACAAGAAGGACAUUGAGGGGCUGGAGCGAGUCCAGAGAAGGGCAGCAGAGCUGGGGAAGGGUCUGGAGCACAAAUCUGAUGA